CUAGGGCCAACGUAAAAUAGUUGCUAGGGUAUUUAAAUUGUUUAAAAUAAGUGCGUAAUUGUCUGAUGUAGGAUAAGAAAAUUGGGAACAAAAACAAUGAUUAAUCAACAGAAAAAUGAUUCUAUUAUUAUCUGUUUUCAUUUAUCUGUUUGAAUCAAGAUUAAAGCGAAAUAAUAUUUACAUUUCGAAACUAUUAUGUUUUUAUUUUUAAAAAAAUUCGAGUAUUUGCUUGACGUUAUUGUUUUAUUUUACUUAGCAAGUUAGUGCGUUACUGUGUGAAUGUUAUUUUGUAUUUUGGAAAGAAUAAUUUUGAAACAGGCUACCAUUAAACAGGAAGGUACUUUGAUUGCUUCGUAACUUGGUGAAUGUUAUUUUGUUUUUCGAAAAGAAUAAUUUUGAAACAUGCUACCAUCAAACAGGAAGUAUCAACUUUUAGUCUUGUGUAUGACAUCGUUUCCACUUCUUCUUUUUGUACUUGCUUUCGAUCUAAUAAGAA